rnacentral:rRNA from 1 species
UACGUAGGGUGCGAGCGUUAAUCGGAAUUACUGGGCGUAAAGCGUGCGUAGGCGGUUCGUUAAGUUCGUUGUGAAAGCCCCGGGCUCAACCUGGGAAUGGCAAUGGAAACUGGCGGGCUGGAGUAUGGCAGAGGGGGGUGGGAAUUCCGCGUGUAGCAGUGAAAUGCGUAGAGAUGUGGAGGAACACCGAUGGCGAAGGCAGCCCCCUGGGCUAACACUGACGCUCAUGCACGAAAGCGUGGGGAGCAAACAGG